GAAAGACACAGAGGCAGAGGGAGAAGCAGGCUCCACGCAGGGAGCCCGAUGCGGGGCUCGAUCUCACAACCCCGGAAUCAAGACCUGAACUGAGAUCGAGUGGGAUGCCCAAUGCGCCCCCAGGGAUGAGUGAUCCAAUCCCAGUCACAAGCUGUAAUGUGCUGCAGAGAAGUACAGAUACUUGGAGCUCUUCCAGCUGAGGAUGGAAGGGGGACAAGAUGUGAGAAUCCAAGCACUUGGUGCCUCAUGCAAUGACAUCAUCAGCAGGUACAACCAUCCCGGGAGGUUGGCCUCCCAGGGGAGCACUGGGAAGACAAACAGAAGGUAGGAGGGCCCCAUGAGGAUCGGAGAGCUGAGCUGGAUGUUCCUGAGAGAUAGAAGCUCUGUGUCCUCUGUCCCAACCCUGAGACCAACAGCCUCUGACCCAGAUGCUGGCCAUUGGAAUCUCUUCUUUGGGAAAAAAAAUAAGGUCACAGAGUAAUCUCGCCAGAGUCGGAGGAUGUGCAUCUGGAAGGAGAACACAACCCCAGGAUGGUGAGAGGAGUCCUCUUGUUAACCCAUUCACAUUCCUGGACAAAACUGAAGACGUAAGACAGAUGGGAAUAAAGGGGACUGAACGUUUUCUGGUAAAAUUGGUGAUAAUCUGUGAUGCCUGGGUGGCUCAGUGGUUGAGUGUCUGCCUUUGGCUCAGGUCGUGAUCCUGGGGUUGGGCCUGCUUCUCCCUCUGCCUGUGUCUCUGCCUCUCUCUGUGUCUCGCAUGAGUAAAUAAAUAAAAUCUUAAAAAAUAAUAAAAUUGGUGAUGAUCUGACCACAAAAUAAAGGUAAAAGCACCAAGCCCUCUGGGUUUUGUUUUGGUAUUAUCAUAGCUGCCAAGGGUUGUCAUGGAAACCAGCAAGGGUGUCAAAUCCUAGCACUCAUGGCUUUGUGAAGAGGAUUUGAAGAUACUCUGAUGGGAG
rnacentral:lncRNA from 1 species